rnacentral:rRNA from 1 species
GAUGAACGCUGGCGGCGUGCCUAAUACAUGCAAGUCGAGCGAACAGACGAGGAGCUUGCUCCUCUGACGUUAGCGGCGGACGGGUGAGUAACACGUGGAUAACCUACCUAUAAGACUGGGAUAACUUCGGGAAACCGGAGCUAAUACCGGAUAAUAUAUUGAACCGCAUGGUUCAAUAGUGAAAGACGGUUUUGCUGUCACUUAUAGAUGGAUCCGCGCCGCAUUAGCUAGUUGGUAAGGUAACGGCUUACCAAGGCAACGAUGCGUAGCCGACCUGAGAGGGUGAUCGGCCACACUGGAACUGAGACACGGUCCAGACUCCUACGGGAGGCAGCAGUAGGGAAUCUGCCGCAAUGGGCGAAAGCCUGACGGAGCAACGCCGCGUGAGUGAUGAAGGUCUUCGGAUCGUAAAACUCUGUUAUUAGGGAAGAACAAAUGUGUACGUAACUAUGCACGUCUUGACGGUACCUAAUCAGAAAGCCACGGCUAACUACGUG